AUUGAACGCUGGCGGCAUGCUUUACACAUGCAAGUCGAACGGUAACAGGCCUUCGGGUGCUGACGAGUGGCGAACGGGUGAGUAAUGCAUCGGAACGUACCCAGAGGUGGGGGAUAACGCAGCGAAAGCUGUGCUAAUACCGCAUGUGAUCUGAGGAUGAAAGCGGGGGACCGAGCAGCAAUGUUUGGCCUCGCGCCUUUGGAGCGGCCGAUGUCGGAUUAGCUUGUUGGUGGGGUAAAGGCCUACCAAGGCGACGAUCCGUAGCUGGUCUGAGAGGACGACCAGCCACACUGGGACUGAGACACGGCCCAGACUCCUACGGGAGGCAGCAGUGGGGAAUUUUGGACAAUGGGCGCAAGCCUGAUCCAGCAAUGCCGCGUGCGGGAAGAAGGCCUUCGGGUUGUAAACCGCUUUUGGCAGGAACGAAACGGUGUCCGCUAAUACCGGGCGCUAAUGACGGUACCUGCAGAAUAAGCACCGGCUAACUACGUG
rnacentral:rRNA from 1 species